CCUACGGGGGGCAGCAGUGAGGAAUAUUGGUCAAUGGACGAGAGUCUGAACCAGCCAAGUAGCGUGAAGGAUGACUGCCCUAUGGGUUGUAAACUUCUUUUAUAUGGGAAUAAAAUGUUCCACGUGUGGGAUUUUGUAUGUACCAUAUGAAUAAGGAUCGGCUAACUCCGUGCCAGCAGCCGCGGUAAUACGGAGGAUCCGAGCGUUAUCCGGAUUUAUUGGGUUUAAAGGGAGCGUAGGUGGAUUGUUAAGUCAGUUGUGAAAGUUUGCGGCUCAACCGUAAAAUUGUAGUUGAAACUGGCAGUCUUGAGUACAGUAGAGGUGGGCGGAAUUCGUGGUGUAGCGGUGAAAUGCUUAGAUAUCACGAAGAACUCCGAUUGCGAAGGCAGUUCACUGGACUGCAACUGACACUGAGGCUCGAAAGUGUGGGUAUCAAACAGGAUUAGAUACCCGUGUAGUC
rnacentral:rRNA from 1 species